GCUCGUUCGGGACGAGC
rnacentral:tRNA from 1 species